GAUGAACGCUGGCGGCGUGCCUAAUACAUGCAAGUCGAGCGAACAGAUGAGAAGCUUGCUUCUCUGAUGUUAGCGGCGGACGGGUGAGUAACACGUGGGUAACCUACCUAUAAGACUGGGAUAACUCCGGGAAACCGGGGCUAAUACCGGAUAAUAUUUUGAACCGCAUGGUUCAAUAGUGAAAGACGGUUUCGGCUGUCACUUAUAGAUGGACCCGCGCCGUAUUAGCUAGUUGGUAAGGUAACGGCUAACCAAGGCGACGAGACGUAGCCGACCUGAGAGGGUGAGCGUCCACGCUAGAACUGAUACACGGUCCAGACUCGUACGGGAGUCAGCAGUAGGGAAUCAUCCGCAAUGGGCGAAAGCCUGACGGAGCAACGCCGCGUGAGUGAUGAAGGUCUUCGGAUAGUAAAACUCUGUUGUUAGGGAAGAACAAAUUUGUUAGUAGCUGUACAAGUCUUGACGGUACCUAACCAGAAAGCCACGGCUAACUACGUGCCAGCAGCCGCGGUAA
rnacentral:rRNA from 1 species